AUUUUAGCGGAAUUCAUUACAGGCGUGCAGGCCAUAUGCGAAUAGAUUUUGAUAGCCGGAAGAGACUAUAAAUCGUCUACUCAAUAAGGGAUGAACGCACAACAGAUGUAAAUAUUUUGAUGGAAAAUGUUAUCAUAACAGGAAAACAGAGUGGAGCUAACAGAGAAAAGCGUAUCGAUACAUUUGUGGGUACCGAAGGCAAGCGUACCCUUUUCCUAGGACAUUUGCAGCAAGACAGCCUGAUAGUACCGCCUUCGUCUCGUGAUUUUGCGCAGAACCCCGAAGAGAAUCGCUUAAACGAGCCAGUCGAUGUCAAUACGUUGGCUGUGGCUUCCGUCAGCGGCUAUCGAGGACGGUCAUCAUCUUGCACUCGUCGCGAAAUGCCCAAGGCUGUAACAGUCAUUCGAUCGUCCAGCGAUAUCUCGCUGGCGUCUACCGUCGCCUUAGAUGAUUCCAUCCAUACUGCCGUUACCUCAGCUCAGUCCGACCUCGCAGCUGCGGCGGCAAGACAGCUUGAGAUUGACGAGAUGCGCAAUUUCGUUCGUAAACAGAAAACUAAAUUACCUGUACUUAUGGAUAGCUUUAUGGAUUUUAUCAUAGGUUGGUCACCAAAUCGUUGCCGUAAUGAACACGAUAGCAAGUUACAAAGAGAUCACCGAGGGGGCACGAGUUUCGCGCGCUGAUGAGAAACGAAUGAAGCUUGAGCAUACCUUCUCUUUAAAGGUCAGAUUCAAUAUCCUGCCAGAGCUCCAGGACGUCGGAAAGCUCAUUAACAGCUAUAGCCAUGAAAGCGAUCCGGACAAACGGAAACUCCUCUGCCGGAGGACCAAGGAGACGCUCGACCGCAUCUAUAAAAUGAUCGCUUACCUUAUGGAUGGGGACUGCUUGCUAGAAAAUUUUGCCAAAUGCCACUCCAAGUCAUAUUCGAACCCGAGCAGGGGAAGUUACAUAGAUCACCAAAUACAGAUUCGCCAUUGUUUGCUUAGCUACGGCAGGAUUCACCGAGAAGCCGAAGAUAUGUACCGAGUGAUGAAAUUUAGCUAAUAGCUCAACUUAAAGUUAAGCUCUAAUAAACAUUAUCAUAAACUCAUUAUACUCUACGGUCGCCACUUCGCAGCAACUGUGUCUAUUUGACCACAUAUGAACCCGUUGCCGGCUCAACCUAUUAGUUUUCUUCGUGCCCGCUACCUACAUAUACGUAAUAUCUCACGCCCAUUUGAAAUCCGCUCAAAAUCUUUCAGUUAACUUUGGGAGGCAAACUCACUCGAAGACAAGGCACGGUGGCUUGCUAUUUGUUCUUGCUUGGGCAUUGUUUCGACUGUGAGUCAUCCUGCAUUCGUCUUUUGAAGAACGUUUCGUCUACGUAUACACCCCGCCAUCCCUUAUUACGCUUCUUGAUAAGUAUUCCUGCUUGCGGUAGAACUCGUCAAACGUUCUCUCUUACAAUGCGUACUGACUAGUUACUAGAGGCUAGUUUUUAUUUACUCAUACAGGACACAAGAACAUGAUAUAAUGGCGCAUAUGGUAGAUCAUGUUUUGUGGCCGUAGGGAGGAUUGUCUAUUUGAAAAACGUUCGGUUAGGGACGACGCUUGAAGGAGACAAAGUAAUUUCCAGUUGGCGGAGACAACGAUCGAAAGAGGGCUGUCUAUGUAAAUUAUGUUGUGUGUCUGUGAUUCGAGAACGGCAACAAUCGUUACAGGGCUAAAUGAUUUUUCUGUAUAAAGCAACCUCUUAAGGCAAUUUAUGCAGUGCCAAUAUAUUUAUCCAGCCCAAGAUUGAUAAAUGGUAACUGCUUGUGAAGUAUGAUAUAUCUGAAAAUGCUACCCCUCAGACUGGCUAUUCAGGCUAUUAGAACGCAAGAUCAGCCAGCUUAUGUCAACAUAGUCUUUAUAAACUUGUAUAUUUCGUUGUUAAUGUUGUCGUUGCGGAAAAGCUGUAUACGUCCCGGGUACCAUAUAUCCAAAAUAAAAACAAGACUCAUUGAUUAAAAGCGAUGCGAAGCAUUUAAACGUAAAAUUCUAGCCCUUGAAGGAAAAACAAUUAAUGCAAUAAUAGGUGAAGUAGUUUCUAUAACAAGUUAUAAUUGAGGUCGAUUAAAUGGACGGCAGACAAACAGA